rnacentral:rRNA from 1 species
AGAAUCAACGCUGGCGGCGUGCCUAACACAUGCAAGUCGAACGCGGUUACCCCGCAAGGGGUAACUGAGUGGCGAACGGGUGAGUAACACGUGGGUGACCUACCUUCGAGUGGGGGAUAACGUCCCGAAAGGGACGCUAAUACCGCAUAACAUCCUGCCUUUGAACAGGUGGAGAUCAAAGCUGGGGAUCGCAAGACCCGGCGCUUGAUGGAGGGGCCCGCGUCCGAUUAGCUAGUUGGUGAGGUAACGGCUCACCAAGGCGACGA